ACCGAUAUGGCCGAGCGGUUAAGGCGGUGCACUUAAGAUGCAUUGGACAAUGUCCUCGUGGGUUCGAAUCCCACUGUCGGUA
rnacentral:tRNA from 1 species